GUGCAAAGCUUUAUUUAUUUCCCAGUGCCACCCCCUCUGCACCCGAGGUUUGCUCACACAGUCCUCCUACCCCGCCAUCGCCGGCGGUACACACUCGGCUGGGUUCCCGCUCAGCGAGGGAAGGUCACAAUAGCUGCUCUAUCGGCGGAGGCGCCCGCCUCCCCCCUCCCCAUUCGCAGAGAAACGGAGAAAAAAGAGUGGGGGAGGGGAGGUCGGCUCCAGCAAUGGCGCCCUGCGCCCCGGCCUCUCCUUCUCCGGCCGAGGACCCGCAGCGGGAAGGGGGAAGUUAGCCGGGGAAAGAAACCUUCUCUCUGGCUAGCGUCUGUCUUCCCGUAGGGGUGCUGGGGGUGGGAGUGGGGCAAAGGAGAACGCACCAAGCCUCGAGGCUACGAAGUCUGGCCGCCGGGGACGUUGGGUCGAGCGUGCCCGCAGCAGCCGCGCCAUUGUGCGCACAGCUUCCCCCCGGGUUCCGCGGAGGGGAAGGCCACACAAAGGCAGCGCGGGCCGACGCCGGGAGGUGGGGAAGGGCCGGUCUCCCUCAGGGCAUUGGUCUCUGGAACGUCUACCUCGUGUGCAGCACAGGAGGGCCGCUCUGACCAGCUCUGCUUUUUCCUUAUAGAGACCGCUUUGCGGGGGAGGUGGGGAUCGGGGAAGGUUGUGAAGCCUCCUGAAGUCUAAAAGAAGGCCCAGUCCCUUGGAUAAGGAGUGGCAGUCGUUCUGGUGGCUCUGGUUCUGUGAAGGCAAUCAAAUGGGAAUUAAGGCAGAAACUGAAAGAGAAGAAUUGAAAGAAUAGACGUUUGUUCAGCUUUAGGAAACAGAUGCAGAAAGCUCCAGUCUCCACAGGCCUAAAAUCUGAUCACUUCAGGGCACCACAACUUUUCAGAUGACGACGCCAUCCCAGAGAACAAAGAAAGCCCCGACCCGUCCUGGAGACAAUCUACGGAGGGCGCUGUCGGUGACCCCGAAUCUGAGCGCCCCAGUCCUCAGCGGGGAACAAUAGCCGCCGCUCCCCGGGGCGCUCUGCUAGCCCGGCGGGCGCGCGGCAGCGCUGCACAAAGGCCCGCUGGGGUCUGCGCCGCCACGUGACGCGCGCUUGCUCCGUGCUCCCGCGCUGGCGGGCGCGGCCAGGCUGCGGGCGGGCGUUCCUGAGUCCACCUGGAAGCCUUUCGGAAAGACAAACGCGGUUCCUCCUACUUCAGAGCAAGUCUGGGCCAGCUGGGAUCCGACCAGAAACCGCCAGCGAAGGAGACAGCGCGCAGGCCGAGCGCUAACUGAGGGCGCGACCCGCGGGCGAGCGGCGCAGCCGGGGCAGCGCUCUGCAGCGCCAGGCCGAGGGAAGGGCCGGCAAGGCACCGCCUCCCACCCGGGCCAGCACUGCCUCCCGCGGCCCCACCCCCGAACUCAGGGCGCCCAGGGCUUUCCCAGCAAGUCUGCGCCCACGCUCGCCCCUGACCCACCGUGACCCUGCAUUCCCCGCCCCUCCCCCACCUGCCUGCACAAGAGACACCCUCAAAUGCUGCUCUAACCCCGGAAAGGCACGAAUCCCUCUCCGCAGGCAGGACAAGACAAAUCCCACUGGGUCAGAGGAUUCUUGCAGACAACAUUUCAUCUAAAAGUCCCUAUUUACCUGCAGGAGUAUUUGUGUGGGGCAGAGUAGGCUGCUGAACUUGUAACUGAUUCGA